GCGGUUAAAAAGCUCGUAGUUGGAUUUCUGUCGAGGGCGGGCGGUCCGCACUAUGUGCGUGUAUCUUGUUCGGUCUUGGCAUCCUCUUGGGGAAUGCUUCUGUGCUUGAUUGCAUGGGGUGGAAUUCAAGACUUUUACUUUGAGGAAAUUAGAGUGUUCACGGCAAGCUACCGCUUUGAAUACAUUAGCAUGGAAUAAUAAUAUAGGGCGUAAGUUCUAUUUUGUUGGUUUCUAGGACAUACGCAAUGAUUAAUAGGGACAAUUGGGGGCAUUCGUAUUAACGCGUCAGAGGUGGAAUUCUUAGAUUGCGUUACGACGAACUACUGCGAAAGCAUUUGCCAAAGAUGUUUUCAUUGAUCAAGAACGAAAGUAUGGGGAUCGAAGACGAUUAGAUACCGUCGUAGUCUAUACCAUAAACUAUGCCAAUUAGAGAUUGGGCGUCGUUCGUUUUAUGACUCGCUCAGCACCUUAUGAGAAAUCAAAAUUUUUGGGUUCCGGGGGGAGUAUGGUCGCAAGUCUGAAACUUAAAGGAAUUGACGGAAGGGCACCACCAGGAGUGGAGCCUGCGGCUUAAUUUGACUCAACACGGGAAAACUUACCAGGUCAGACAUAGUAAGGAUUGACAGAUUGAUAGCUCUU
rnacentral:rRNA from 1 species